UACGGGGGGGGCAAGCGUUGUUCGGAAUUACUGGGCGUAAAGGGCGCGUAGGCGGCCUGCUAAGUCACACGUGAAAUCCCUCGGCUCAACCGGGGAACUGCGUGUGAUACUGGCGGGCUUGAAUUCGGGAGAGGGAUGCAGAAUUCCAGGUGUAGCGGUGAAAUGCGUAGAUAUCUGGAGGAAUACCGGUGGCGAAGGCGGCAUCCUGGACCGACAUUGACGCUGAGGCACGAAAGCGUGGGGAGCAAACAGG
rnacentral:rRNA from 1 species